rnacentral:rRNA from 1 species
AGAGUUUGAUCCUGGCUCAGGAUGAACGCGGCGGCCGUGCUUAACACAUGCAAGUCGAACGGGACUUAUGUGAUUGAGGAUUCGUCCAAAUGAUCAUAAGUUUAGUGGCGAACGGGUGAGUAACGCGUGAGCAAUCUGCCUUGGAGUGGGGAAUAACAGUCCGAAAGGACUGCUAAUACCGCAUGAUGCAUUUGAGUCGCAUGGCUCUGAAUGCCAAAGAUUUAUCGCUCUGAGAUGAGCUCGCGUCUGAUUAGCUAGAUGGCGGGGUAACGGCCCACCAUGGCGACGAUCAGUAGCCGGACUGAGAGGUUGGCCGGCCACAUUGGGACUGAGACACGGCCCAGACUCCUACGGGAGGCAGCAGUGGGGAAUAUUGGGCAAUGGGCGCAAGCCUGACCCAGCAACGCCGCGUGAAGGAAGAAGGCUUUCGGGUUGUAAACUUCUUUUAACAGGGACGAACACAAUGACGGUACCUGUUGAAAUAAGCCACCCGGCUAACUACGUGCCAGCAGCCGCGGU